UGGGGAAUAUUGGACAAUGGACCGAGAGUCUGAUCCAGCAAUUCUGUGUGCACGAUGAAGUUUUUCGGAAUGUAAAGUGCUUUCAGUUGGGAAGAAAGAAAUGACGGUACCAACAGAAGAAGUGACGGCUAAAUACGUGCCAGCAGCCGCGGUAAUACGUAUGUCACGAGCGUUAUCCGGAUUUAUUGGGCGUAAAGCGCGUCUAGGUGGUUAUAUAAGUCUGAUGUGAAAAUGCAGGGCUCAACUCUGUAUUGCGUUGGAAACUGUAUAACUAGAGUACUGGAGAGGUAAGCGGAACUACAAGUGUAGAGGUGAAAUUCGUAGGUAUUUGUAGGAAUGCCGAUGGGGAAGCCAGCUUACUGGACAGAUACUGACGCUGAAGCGCGAAAGCGUGGGUAGCAAACAGGAUUAGAUACCCUGGUAGUCCACGCUGUAAACGAUGAUUACUAGGUGUUGGGGGUCGAACCUCAGCGCCCAAGCAAACGCGAUAAGUAAUCCGCCUGGGGAGUACGUACGCAAGUAUG
rnacentral:rRNA from 1 species